rnacentral:rRNA from 1 species
GAUGAACGCUGGCGGCGUGCCUAAUACAUGCAAGUCGAGCGAACGGACGAGAAGCUUGCUUUUCUGAUGUUAGCGGCGGACGGGUGAGUAACACGUGGAUAACCUACCUAUAAGACUGGGAUAACUUCGGGAAACCGGAGCUAAUACCGGAUAAUAUUUUGAACCGCAUGGUUCAGAAGCGAAAGACGGUCUUGCUGUCACUUAUAGAUGGAUCCGCGCUGCAUUAGCUAGUUGGUAAGGUAACGGCUUACCAAGGCAACGAUGCAUAGCCGACCUGAGAGGGUGAUCGGCCACACUGGAACUGAGACACGGUCCAGACUCCUACGGGAGGCAGCAGUAGGGAAUCUUCCGCAAUGGGCGAAAGCCUGACGGAGCAACGCCGCGUGAGUGAUGAAGGUCUUCGGAUCGUAAAACUCUGUUAUUAGGGAAGAACAUAUGUGUAAGUAACUGUGCACAUCUUGACGGUACCUAAUCAGAAAGCCACGGCUAACUACGUG